rnacentral:rRNA from 1 species
GUGGGGAAUCUUCCGCAAUGGACGAAAGUCUGACGGAGCAACGCCGCGUGAGUGAAGAAGGCCUUCGGGUUGUAAACCGCUUUUGUCAGGGAAGAAAUCCUUUGGGUUAAUACCUCGGAGGGAUGACGGUACCUGAAGAAUAAGCACCGGCUAACUACGUGCCAGCAGCCGCGGUAAUACGUAGGUGGCAAGCGUUGUCCGGAAUGAUUGGGCGUAAAGCGCGCGCAGGCGGGAUAGCAAGUCUGUCUUAAAAGUGCGAGGCUCAACCUCGUGAGGGGACAGAAACUGGUAUUCUUGAGUGUCGGAGAGGAAAGUGGAAUUCCAAGUGUAGCGGUGAAAUGCGUAGAGAUUUGGAAGAACACCAGUGGCGAAGGCGACUUUCUGGACGAUGUCUGACGCUGAGGCGCGAAAGCUAGGGGAGCGAACGGGAUUAGAUACCCUAGUAGUCC